UACAGAGGCCCCAAGCAUUAUCCGGAAUCACUGGGCGUAAAGGGUGUCGAGGCGGUCAUGUUAGUCGUUUGUAAAAUCCGUGGGCUCAACCUACGGCUCGCAAGCGAAACGGCAUGACUCGAGAGCAGAAGAGGUGCAUGGAACUCACGGUGUAGGGGUGAAAUCCGUUGAUAUCGUGGGGAACACCAAAGGCGAAGGCAGUGCACUGGUCUGUUUCUGACGCUCACACACGAAAGCUAGGGUAGCGAACGGG
rnacentral:rRNA from 1 species